rnacentral:misc_RNA from 1 species
ACACCUCAACUCUUCAUGGUUUUCUGUGAUGAGCUUGGACUUUGGGGGUUUUGCUGGCCUAUGGUCGGCUCCUCUGAAAUGAAUCAGCUUGCCGGUGUUUGGUGGGCAUCACAGGUGUGAUAACUAUCUACGCUUGUGGUUCUCCGCCAGGUGACCUCCAGCGAUGGGGGUUCGCCGGAGCUCACAAACGUCUCUCCUCGGCGAGGACGGCUCUUUGAAC